rnacentral:lncRNA from 1 species
UUUUGUGCUUGGUGAUUAGUUCCACAUAUUCCAACACAUGCAACCACAUACAUCCACAAGACAACCAGAAACCCUAGUAGUCACAUUUCUUUAAUAUUAACUGUGGAGCUAGAUCAAAUCGAGGAGACAUAUGUGGCUCCGUGACACCUUGCAUAGUCCGAGAACUUGGUACUACUUGUUUGCAGCUACUUGUUGGCCUGCGUCUUAUAUUAAUUUUCAGUUUGCAAUAACUAUUUGCUAGGGAGUAGUUUUAGUUUAUAUUGAGCAUCUACUUUGCAAUUUUGAAUUCAUUUCAUGCAUUAGGUCUACUUAGGAACCUUUUAUAGUUGGUCGGCUCAUACAUUUUGUCAUUCAUUUUAUGCAUCUACGUAGUGGUCGUGUCGCAUCUCAUCCUGAGUCCCACCUAGACAUGGAUUCCAAAAUUGAAACCCUACUAAAAGCUAUCCACAACACUAAUGCCCAAGUUCAAAAAACUAAUACUCAAGUCCAAAAUACCAAUGCCCAAGUCCAAGCAAACAAUGCCCAAAUUCAUGACUUAACCACAAUAUCCACCCAGGUUAAUGCCCGACUCGAUUCAAUUGAGGCUUCACUUCAAAGGGUUAUUGAAU